GUGUGACCUAAGUGGUUAAAGCAUCUGCCUUGAAUGCAGGAGGUCACAGGUUUAAACCCCAGCAGAGCCA